rnacentral:rRNA from 1 species
GGACCCGCACAAGUAGUGGAGCAUGUGGUUUAAUUCGAAGAUACGCGCAGAACCUUACCAACACUUGACAUGUUCGUCGCGACUUUAAGAGAUUAAAGUUUUUCGGUUCGGCCGGACGAAACACAGGUGCUGCAUGGCUGUCGUCAGCUCGUGUCGUGAGAUGUUGGGUUAAGUCCCGCAACGAGCGCAACCCUCACUUUUAGUUGCCAUCAUUAAGUUGGGCACUCUGAAAGAACUGCCAGUGAUAAGCUGGAGGAAGGUGGGGAUGACGUCAAGUCCUCAUGGCCCUUACGUGUUGGGCUACACACGUGCUACAAUGGUAUUUACAACAGGAAGCAAGACUGCGAAGUUAAGCAAAUCCCUAAAAAAUACCUCAGUUCGGAUUGCACUCUGCAACUCGAGUGCAUGAAGCUGGAAUUACUAGUAAUCGUGGAU